rnacentral:rRNA from 1 species
UACAGAGGGUGCAAGCGUUAAUCGGAAUUACUGGGCGUAAAGCGUGCGUAGACGGUUAUGUAAGUCGGGUGUGAAAGCCCCGGGCUCAACCUGGGAAUUGCAUUCGAGACUGUGUAGCUAGGGUACGGAAGAGGGAAGCGGAAUUUCAGGUGUAGCGGUGAAAUGCGUAGAUAUCUGAAGGAACACCAGUGGCGAAAGCGGCUUCCUGGACCAGUACCGACGUUCAGGCACGAAAGCGUGGGGAGCAAACAGG